CAAUAGCGUAUAUUAAAGUUGUUGCAGUUAAAAAGCUCGUAGUUGGACCUUGGACCUGGACAGGCGGUCCGCCUCACGGCGUGUACUGUCUUGCUGGGUCUUUCCUCUUGGUGAUCUGUUGUUUCGGCAGCAGGGAACCAGGACUUUUACUUUGAAAAAAUUAGAGUGUUCAAAGCAGGCUCGACGCCGGAAUAUAUUAGCAUGGAAUAAUAAAAUAGGACGUGCGGUUCUAUUUUGUUGGUUUUUGGAGUCGCCGUAAUGAUUAAUAGGGACAGUCGGGGGCAUUAGUACUCACAUGCUAGAGGUGAAAUUCUUGGAUUUUGUGAAGACUAACUUCUGCGAAAGCAUUUGCCAAGGAUGUUUUCAUUAA
rnacentral:rRNA from 1 species